rnacentral:tRNA from 1 species
GAGAAGGAUACAAGUUGACCUGCUAACUCAACACACCAGAAGCUAGCCCUCUGGCCUACUCA